AUUAACGCUGGCGGCGUGCAUAACACAUGCAAGUCGAACGAUGAAACUUAACUGAUUUCUUCGGAAUGAUUUUAAGUGGAUUAGUGGCGGACGGGUGAGUAACGCGUGAGUAACCUGCCUUGGAGAAGGGGAUAGCCUUUGGAAACGAAGAAUAAUACCCUAUGAUAUGAUAAUAUCUCAUGAUAUUAUCAUCAAAGAUUUAUCGCUCUAAGAUGGACUUGCGUCUGAUUAGUUAGUUGGUGAGGUAACAGCUCACCAAGGCAGCGAUCAGUAGCCGGCUUGAGAGAGUGUACGGCCACAUUGGGACUGAGACACGGCCCAGACUCCUACGGGAGGCAGCAGUGGGGAAUUUUGCACAAUGGGGGAAACCCUGAUGCAGCGACGCCGCGUGAUUGAGAAGGCCUUCGGGUUGUAAAAAUCUUUUGUAUGGGAAGAAAAUGACAGUACCAUACGAAUAAGGACCGGCUAAUUACGUG
rnacentral:rRNA from 1 species